ensembl:lncRNA
ACACAGCUCCAGCACGCAGGGCCUCUAGGAGGCUCCUGAUGUGUAGCAGUUAUGGAGACCUUGUUCAAAGUGUGAGAGAAACAAGGUUUGGAAUGUCACUACUUCUCCGUGAGCGGAAUUCCAUAACCCACCAGCUCCCAGGAGAUGGUUUGAAUUCCACUGAAGAAGUGAAUUUUACCAGGCGCUGGGGAUAAAGCCAAAAAGAAGCAUUAGAAAUACGUACGUAAAAAAUGGGAGAGAAGAUGUUGCUCCUAACUUGAUAAUGCACAGAUGCUAGCACUGCUGUGUAAAAUUCAUGCAAGUCUUCCUUGGCAACUGCAGUGAAAUGAAACCUAAAGUGACAGCCUGAGACAAAGAGGAAAGCCAAAGCACGCUGUGCUGUGCAGGGCCUGGCUGAGUGGGUGACGUCGCUCAGAGAGCCACCAUUCGAGUGUCACAGCUGUCACCAUCCAUUCCCUGCACAUCAAAUCCAUUCUGCUUCUGUCUGGGGCAGGAGCUUGUUACCUCAGAAGCUGACGAGAACCAGAGAUUUUUUUUCAUAUUUCCUCUUUGCCUCAACUACGUGCUGUCAGUUAGGAAAUCCACAGCUCAGUAUUGACAUGUGUGAUUCCCAGUUUGACUUCUGCGCUGGAGUCCAACUGGAACUGUGCACCAGUGAAGGUCUGCUUCCCAUAAAGGGCCUCUCUGAAAUGGGGCACUCAAGAGACAAAGGCCUGUUCAUAUAUAAAAGGGGGAAGAGAAUACUGGAACAAAGAGGAAUUUCUACUAUUUCCUGCUUUGGUAUAUUCACAAAAAUCAGACCUUUUUAGUGAAUGAAUGCCAGUAACAGAUUAUAUAUCCUUAUGUUUAUUAAUUACCUUUCCUUUCUCAUUCAAGCUUUGAUAGCUGCUAUUCUCAAAUAGGUAACAGAUAAACAUAAUGAACUCUUCUGGAUGAAGGCUGAAAGUCACAGAGCUAUGAAAUAAUGCAAUUGAAAAUGGAGGAAGAGUGGUCCCAGUGCUGUCAUACCAGCAGUGAAUGCACAUCAGACAAUGCAAAAUGCUGUACGCUCAACAGAGACAUGGUCCAUAAUACAAGAGCAUAGGAAUUUCAUUUCCAUGCAGAGCUCAAUACAAUUAAAAAAGAAAAAAAAAGAAAAGAAAGAAAAAAGAAAGAAAAAAAAGAGCGGGAUUAUAUGAGUGGUAAUUUGGUGUUAUGGAUAUAUGGAUGAGGUAUUUUCUUAGAAGCCUUAAAAUGAUGAUGAUUGCAGUUUGGUCCAUGACCCGGGGGGGGACUUCCUGCUUCUGCUGGUGAGUUUGCUUGUUUGUUUGUUAUUGCGCACAUUGCUCUAGAGAAGUAGGACUUAGCAAGAAAAAUUAACCUAUUUUACUUUAUUUUUUACUUCUAUAGCGUUGCUAUUGCAAUUCCAUAGAGUUCCAUUAUUUUCUCAUGCAGAAGCACAUUAUAACUUUUAGUUUUCAUUGUUUCAGAUGAAUGUUUAUAUUUUAAAAAUGAUAAUAAUUAUGUUUUUCACUAAAGAAAGUUGUGGGACUUCUCAUUACAACCUCUAUAAAAUGUGAAGAUUUACUCUUCAGCAUGGAGAGAGAGAGAGAGGGGCAUCACAUGCCUCUCCUGCCUUCGUUCAGGGGAAAAGAAAACUUCAUUUUUUAUAUUUUAGGAUAGUCUAUUUUAAGAACUAGUCCAUAGAAGUCCAUGGAGUUUAAUGUCAUUUCUUCAACUGCAAUGCAAAGAGAAACUGAAACAUGAAAAAAAGCACGUGCUGAGAAAUAAUAUUCUGGCAGUGGAGUUCAUUUUCAACAAAAAACAAAUAAUACUGGUCCCCUCACAAAGACUUGUUAAAUAUUAACUAGCACCCAGAAGACAUAAGCAAUGACUCAGAUACACAGGAAAAAGCCCCCAAGGUUCCUGUUUUACUGGAGCAUUCCAGAACCUGCUGAAGUGAACCUCAGGAAGUCAGGCCAUGUCUGAAGGGCAGAGCAGCACAGUGGCCCAAUGUCCCCCAUGGCCAUCUUCUCCCUGUCUCCUCUUGCAAGUUUGGAGUGAACAACAGAAAGCAGUCGCUCCUCAGAGUGCUGUUUUUUCAGGGACUGACUGCAAGAUUUCAAGUUGUUGAUCAUACGGACUUGAUUGUGGAUGUGAGUUGCACCUUCCUGACUACAAACACUGAGCCAGGUUAAUGCCUGUACCUCUGGAGCCUUAGGAGCACAAAAAGUUCUGCUCUCCUGGAAGGGACUUCAAAGAAGAAAGGAAAAAAAACCAUCGGUUCAACAAUUUACAUAUUCCUCUCACGAAAGAAAAAUGGGGAGAAACAGUACAUAUGCUUACUACCCAGCUUCCUUCCUUGUGAGGAACCUCCUCUGACUGCCAUGACCUUUCUAAGGUAAUCAAGAGUGGCUUCACAAUGACACUGACCAGCUUCCUCAGUGCUCGUGGGGAUCUCAUCGGGUCACAUGGACUUGUGCACGCACAAUUUCUUUAAAUCUUCCCUGACAUGAUCCUCUUCUGUACAGGGAUCAAGUCCUGUCUGCCACAAUCUGAUCUUUCUUAAUCAUCCUUAUCACUCAUGGCUGCAAUAUUCUUUUAUCCUAUAUGAACUUCAGACUUUCAAAACAAACUCAAUGAGGCACAGAAAUGAACUAUGCUAUUCACCAAGUAAAAAGAUGGGUUGGAGAGAAGGAAUAUUCUUGUCUGCUCAUUUGGGAUCUAUGCCAGUAGUUUCAAGUUUCUGAAUGUUAUCAAUGACUUUUCUCCAAAGUUAGUUUUGCAAGCUGAUACAGUACUUCAAUAUUUCUAUUUUGCUUAAGUGAAAAUGAAAGAAAAUAAUGUAUUUAAACCUUGGUCACCAUGGAACUUGAAAAAGUGUUGUAAAUGUGUACUUCUAUAUGUGUUUCUCACUAAAAUUAAAGCCACAGACCCUUUAGUAGCAUUCCAUUUCUUUUCUUUUUUUUUUCUUUAUCAAAACAUUUUGUAUUUUGAGAGAGGAUACGGGAUAUGCAUAUCUUCCUUGCAUAACCUUUAAUGAGCUUUUAAACCAGCAGGGCUCUUUCAGAUACUGGCAAGCAAAAGCAGAAUUUGAGACCUUUCUACAGUUUUGAUUGAGAAGAUGAUGUUAUUUGUUCAUGGCUCCAUCAGAGCAAAAAUGGAAAAAGAAACCCAUACAUUUUAAGGAAAAAUAAACUGUCUGGGGAGGAGGAAGAAGUUAUAGUGUCUUGAACUAAAGGUUGAACAGAGCCUGGGAGCAGGACGCUCUCACCAUAUGCAGUAACUGUCUGUUCAGAUCUGGAAAAGACAAGUCCUGUACAUUCUUUGUGGGGAACUAGACAUAGGUGCUCGAUUCACUGAUUAUUAGCAGAGGCUAUUGAACAUACUUCUGACAGUGGCAACUUUAGAUCACUGCAAAGCAAGUGCAAAAAAUGUGUAUAUUAUUUUCAACUAAGUAAGGAAAAAUGACAAAUGAAUUUGUUUCUGUAAGAGAGUCUGUGAAAUUCCAAGAUACUCUUGCAUAUGAAAUCCACUUAAAUAAAGAGAAGAUACAUUUGAAGUAAAUGAUAAAGAGUGGGUUUUGUCCCUUUCCUUAGAUUUGUAGACCUGGUCAAACCCAAAUAAUGUCACACAUUUCUUUGUCUAACUUGGGUAAAGGUAUAUGAUUUGUACAUCCUGUAACCUAUACAGAGGGAAAAAAUAGAAAGAUGAUUCUUAAUAAUUCUGAUUCAUUCAAACUACCAUGUCAGAUCCUUAAGCAGUUGCUAGUGUGGACAGGGUCCAAAACAAGGAAUUCUGCAAAGUUCUCAUGAGUACCUAAAAUGGGGGAAAGGCAUUAACAGAUGGAGGAAAUGAGUCUGGAAUGAGUCUGGGAUAAAAGGAAGAGAAGAAAAAUAUGAUGGAAAUGUUAAAAGAAAGGGAAAAAAUAUGAUGGAAAAUUAUUUUGUUUAAAAGCUGGCAUUUGGUAUUUUCAAAGGGCAAAAUGUAUUUUUAUUUAUGACAAAUGAAUGUAAAAAUGUGCAUGCCUCAUGGCCUAGAGGACAAAACAGUGGGAUCAAUGCUCUUUUUGUACUCUAUGAAGCUUGAGAUUAAAGUCCCCACUGAUAAACUGAACAUUCUUUAAAAGUGACCAGAAGCAAACAGUGUCUGUUUGCUGCUACUUUAUUAGAAAGAUACCACUGAGAAUAGCUAAGAAUACUAUUUGAUCUUAAACAGGUUGACCAAAUUAUUACAGUUGGCUCCAGUACAUGAGAUGCUUUCUGCAAAUUAUUGUUUCUGGUUAUAAACCUUUAUAAUAUCUCUGAAUGAAUUAUGUAUGUAUUUCAUGUUUUCUUUUCUUUUAUCAGCCUUGAUGUUCUCAUUUCAAGUUUCACCCUAGCCUCCUAAUAAUGCAAUAUUGAGGCCAUUCAGACACUAAUUAUGCCUCCAUGGCUUUCUUGAAAUGACUAAAUCAGCAUCAGUUCUAUAAUUAUCAUUAGCAAGUUUGUAUCCGUGCCUCACAUCACAUGAAAAGCACAACUUUAAAUGAUUUAUGAAUAUAUGCAUCUGUAACAUCGAAUGUGCACUUUCUAACAGUAUGUGUACAAGAGGCGCAGAGACACUUUAGACAUAUGCACACUUGUAUAGAUGUUCUCAUCUUAUCUUCAUUUCACUCCAGUCUGUAUCUUACACAAACACAGCCUGAUUGUAUAAAGGCUAAUACUAUAUUGUUUUGUUGUUAGAGAGAUGUCUGCAUGAGAUAUGCCCAAAAUAUGUAUAUUGAAGCAUUCUGACCAGUUAGAAGUAUGGAACACGAACAAGUGUUCACCGAGUCAGUCUUUCAGACUUGAUGAUUUCCUAAUUUUCUUUAUGUUUUCACAAAAGCCUAGCAAGAAUAACUGACAGGACGGAAAGAAGUAUACAAAUGUAAUUCCUCUGUAUUUUCAUUGUUUCUCCCUUUGAAUUAUUGAUGUUGCCAGUAGUCAUUUGUCAAGAAAACAAAUCAAGAUACAUAUACUGUAGUCUUGCACUUCUGUAUGUUUGUAAACUGGUUGUUCUGCAUCAUGUUUAUAUUUUAAACAAAAUUGAAAAGAAAAAAAAAAGAGGAGUGAAUAAGAAAAGAAAAAUAAUUUCUGAUUUUUUUUUUUUUUUAAUAAUAAAGACAUGAAGAAUAAUGAGUACCCAGAACAAAAAUAGUACAGAAAGAGAGCUUGUAGAUAUCUUUGAGUCAAUUAUACCCCCACAGAAUCAUCUGCACACGUGGGAGUUGAGAAACAAAAAAAUGAAAGUAGAUGUAUGCAACACAGCAUCUUGUGUGGCGGUACGGCACCUCACAGCUCAGUUUGGUCUGUGGUAACAACCAAUUUCUGAAUGCCUCUCCUUCCUAUUCUCCUCCCUCCCAAUAUAGAUUCUUUGUUUUGCAUGGAAAGUUGUGCUGAUCACUGGUAUUUUAUGACCUACAUUAUUACCCUCUGGGUAGCAGAAUGAUAGUGCCAAACUAAUUAUUGCAUUGUCUAAUUUUAAAUCCAGGUCUAGUGAGAUUAACAACUUGCACAUCAAUUCUGAGCAUCAACAGUGCACCUAACAUAAUGCAGUUUUAAAUGAAAAAAAGCCUGCUCUGAAAAGUUUUAUAUACUUUGGUCUGGAUCAUCAGCUAAUGUAAAUUACUACAGCUCAAUUGACUUCAGUGGACUUAUGCUAGUGCUCCUGAGUGGAUGAUUUUGUCUUCUUUUUUUAUUCAGGAAAUGUUUCUGGUUUGAGCCAUGUGAAUGUCGGAGGGGAGAACACUGAUUUCACUUAUAUAUGUGAGAUCUCAUCUGUGUAUGCCCAGAACAUGUCUGUUAAACUCAAUGGAUUAAUUCCAGAUUUUCAUCCCUGUAAAUGAGAUCAGAAUUGUCUUGGAAUGUGCUUUUGGCUCUUAGCACCCCCUCCCCCAACACAAACACUCAGUACAGAGAGGGAUUUUUCUGUUCAUCCUAAUUAAGAAAGAAAGAGAUAGAUAGAGAAGGACAUUCACAGACAUCGAAAGUGUGAAUACUUCUUUGUAGAUAGGUACAAAACCAGACUUGGCAAUGUGUCCUUACUUGCUGUUUCACCCUGUUAUUUUUUUUAUGGAGAAGCUUACGUAUUGGGAAUAACAUAGCAGCUCCCUAUAUCUGAAUAUUGUCAUCAACCAGGCAAAUUUGGAUACAAAAUGUAGCUUGUAACUAUACCAAAAACAAAGCAAAACAAUAGCAACAAAAAAAAAAAAAAAAAAAAAAAGAAAGAAAGAAAGAAAGAAAAAAACAACCAAACCAACCCAAACAAAUCAACAACAAAAUCACACACCAACAAAAAACCUGAUUCCUGAUUCUUGAAGACAGAAACAGGUCCUUAAGAAUGCUGGAGCAUUACUUAGCCAGAACACUAAAUAACAGAGUAUUUAGCAAGCACAGAAGAUAAAAGUUUUAUUUUGAAUUGAAAAACUGAGACUGAAUUGAAAAGAUGCUAAGGAAAAUUUUUAGUCUUUUCAGUUGCUCGGAAAGAAAAAAAUAUCAACAACACUCCCUCCAGUAUAACCAGUUCUAUGCCUCUUCAGCAUAACUGGUAGGAGACACAUAGUACAAACAUUCAAUCCAGAAUCCUUACAUCCCCAGAAUCGGAACCGUAGAUACCCAAAGUGGUGGUACUAAUGGCAUCCUCUGCAUAGCUGCUGAAGGGCUAUGUUGACCCCCAUGAUAAUAUUGUACAGUACUUUGACUCAUCUUUAAUUCUGAUUAAGCUGUGCAAUUUUAUCAAUUUAAGGUCAAGGUCUUGAAUAAAUUCUUUUGUGAGGACUAUUAGCAGGUCUUUUAAAAUUAAAAAGACCCGUGUGUCUAAUGGUCUUAUGAGAAUAGAAUUACAAACGAUGAUCUUUAAAAUAAAUUGUAAUUUUAUGGAUACUUAUUAGGAGAAUUUAUUGUAUUGGUAAUUUGCUAUAUCAUAAGUGCCACUGCCAGUUUAGUGAGUUGUAGCAGAAGAAAAGAAUGCAGCAGCUACUUAUUACUGUAUUUUUGUCCUUGCCUUUGGUGCUGUUGAUUUGAAGUGUGGGGGAGGUUUUUACAGGAUAUUUAAGGUUUGUGAUCUCUUACUGUGCAGUAGGGAUGACCUGCAAGUUGUCAUGUUCUGGCCCUGAUCCAGCAAAGCACUUAAGUGUGUGCUUAACUUUGAGCAUUUGAGUUCCAUUUACUUUAACGUGAUUACUCAUGUGCACAAAAUUAAGCACAUGCUUAAGUGCCUUGUUGAUUGCAGCCAAUGCUGUGCGUUCAGCAGAUUUGAACUUCCUAAGGAAGUUAGAAGAAGUACAAGUUAGGAAGAUUUAGUUAUUACAUUACAGGCAGUGGGGAAGGAUGCUGUCAUCGACAGCACCAAACCCAACUAUAUUAAUUUACUUUGUUAACUUCUUUGUCUCCUAAGUGAGACAAUGUAUUUCUUGCAAUCGAAGAACGUCAUACAGAAGAGCUGUGUUGCUCUGAUAAUCUGAGUAGAUAUGAUUGAAGUCUGAAUAGUUUUUUUUUUUUUUUUUACUUUUUUUUUCAUAAAAUGUAAGGUUUAUUUGUCUGAUAUAUUGUUGCUUUUGAGUGCUGGAAAGGCAUUUUAUUUGGGAUACUUGAUUAAGGCUCACAAGCACAGCAUUCUUAAAGGAUGAAUCCUUAUCUAGAAUGGACACAAAUGCUUCACUUGUUUGAAAAGCUUUAUUAGAGAUGACUGCAGACUUAUGCUGGUAAUGUUGUUUCAUGAUUUAAAUG